CACUACUAUAUAACAAAUAAUUUGAGAAGCCAGAACAUGAAAACGACGGUGAUAAUUAUUACGACUUUGCUUUGGUUACCCCUAAAAGGUGCACUAAGACCGGAGGAACCAGGAGAGAUAGUACCUGCAUCUGUGUCUCAGUCUGCGACUUAUAAAAAUGACGUGGCUAAGUAUGGAGCAGAUAAUGCUAUAGACAGGGACCUGAGCACCCGUUCUUAUGCAAUACCAGGAGGGGAUAGUAAGCCCUGGUUUAGAGCGUCUCUAGAUAAGGAACACUGCAUUAAGCAGGUAGUGCAUUAUUAUGGCUCACGUGAGUCCAUGAAGAACACUCACACCUGCUCUAGAGACUCGUGUACCUGUGAGGGAGGGUGGUGUGAUUGGUUGCCCCUCACAGUGUACCAUGAAAACACGGUCUUUGGAGAUUAUGUCCCCUCCGGGUGUAAACUUGGGGACA